UUUAAAUUGCAACAAAGGAAUUAAGAAACAGAUGCCCAUUAAAAAGGAAAAAGGCUGCAAUACAGUGAGCAAGUGGGAAACAGCUGAUAUGCACUCUGCUAUCAACUCUGGAAAAAAACAUGGGCGAAAGCAAACACAAGAUGAAUCUGAGGUCAGAUUCAUCACAGCAGAAAUCAGGUUUGCAGACAUGGAAAUCAAGAGCACAGACAGUAUUAUCCUUAAAUAAACAGUGGUGGUUCUGAUUCAGAUGAAAGGUAGGUGGUUGUUCCCUAUCUCCAUGCCUCAACUGGAUGUCUGAAAUUCAAUGAACUGAAUCUGGUUCUACAUCUUUGUAUUUUGAAUUAGUGUCUAUUUCAUUUCUUUAGUUCUAGUCUCUAGCUCAUCAAGGGUUCAGGGGGAAUAUUUUUGCAUACCAUCCCAAUCCUCCUUUGCAUUUACAAUAUCUCUCAUUUUUGAGUCAACAAGUUGAACUAUCACAGCUUUGAUAUUUUGUACUAAAUUUGUUACUAAAACUAUUCAGCUAUAUAUAUGUACUUUUGAGGAGGGGUAUAUCAUUGUUGAGGCUAAUCAUAGGAAAACACAGCUAAAAAUUCUUGCAGCAUGGGCUAUGGUUAUAUAUAGUGCUUCUGUUAAUAAGCACUUAAUAAGCACCUUUUGCCAUGUAACUAACACUACAGGGGUCCUACUUGCAUGACAUUCUACUAUGUAGCUUACCAAAAUGAAAACGGCUUAUUUAGAAGCAUUGUUAUCUCACUUUAAAAAAAAAAUAAAAAAUAAAAAAAGUUGCA
rnacentral:lncRNA from 1 species